GCAAGUCGAGCGGGAAAUUUUUAAUCGAUUCUUCGGAACAAGCUCAAAAUGGAGAGCGGCGGACGGGUGAGUAACGCGUGAGAAAUCUGCCCUGUACAGGGGGAUAGCCAUUGGAAACGAUGAUUAAUACCCCAUAUGACCACAGCAUCGCAUGAUGUAGCGGUAAAAACUCCGGUGGUACAGGAUGAUCUCGCGUCUGAUUAGCUAGUUGGUAGGGUAAUGGCCUACCAAGGCGACGAUCAGUAGCCGGCCUGAGAGGGUGAAC
rnacentral:rRNA from 1 species